rnacentral:lncRNA from 1 species
UGGGAUCCUCUGGGAGCUCAGCUUCUUAGGCUAGAAGUGCCAGGGAAUUACUUCACCAAAUUCCCCCUUCUACUGGGGCUGCUGAUGGUAUCAGAAGUGGGACCUGCAGUGGGGCAUCUAGCAACCCCCAGGAGCAUUGAGUGACCAGGCUUGGGACCCACCGGGCGCAGGGUGUCCAUUGUUCUCUCGAAGCAACUGAGAAUUGUGGAUAUUCUUCAUUAUUCCAUCAUCAUCUCAAACCUCUUGGGUAUAGUGUUUGACUACUACUGUGACCAUAAAUUCCAAUAAAACCUAGGAAAAAUGAAACCACUACAUUAACUGAAAGGGAAGGAUUUGACAGCUUCUUUUGGGCAUAUCAGAAUCGCCAGCAUCACUACUCUUGCACUGUGCGGCCAUUAUUAAGUGAAAUAAGGAUUACUUGAACACAAGCACUGCAAUGCCGCUACAGUCAAUGUGAUAACCCAGCUGGUGACUAAGUGACCAAGGACGGGGAGUAUCUACAGCGGGGAGACUCUGGAAAAAGGGAGGAUUCACAUCCAGUGCCACUGGGGCAGGGCAGAAUGAGAGUUCAUCAUGCUACAAAGAAUGGCACAGAAUAUACGACUUGUGAGUGGAUUAUCUCUGGAAUUUUCUGUUGACUACAUUUGUACUACAGUUGUAUGUGGGUAACAAACUGUGGAAAGUGAAACUUCGGGUAAGGGGGAGGCUACCGUAGAUAGCCCAGUAUUUCUUAUUUUGUGGAUUUGUUUAUCUUUCUGCUCACAUCCUUUUCCUUCUGCAUUACCAUUUUAGUAAAAAUAGAUAGCAUCCA